rnacentral:rRNA from 1 species
UACGUAGGGUGCAAGCGUUGUCCGGAAUUAUUGGGCGUAAAGAGCUCGUAGGCGGUCUGUCGCGUCGGAUGUGAAAACCCAGGGCUCAACCGUGGCCUGCAUUCGAUACGGGCAGACUAGAGUUCGGUAGGGGGAGACUGGAAUUCCUGGUGUAGCGGUGAAAUGCGCAGAUAUCAGGAGGAACACCGGUGGCGAAGGCGGGGUCUCUGGGCCGAUACUGACGCUGAGGAGCGAAAGCGUGGGGAGCGAACAGG